rnacentral:rRNA from 1 species
CCGAGUUUACAACUCCCAAACCCCUGUGAACAUACCUAUACGUUGCCUCGGCGGAUCAGCCCGCGCCCUGUAAAAAGGGACGGCCCGCCCGAGGACCCUAAACUCUGUUUUUAGUGGAACUUCUGAGUAAAACAAACAAAUAAAUCAAAACUUUCAACAACGGAUCUCUUGGUUCUGGCAUCGAUGAAGAACGCAGCAAAAUGCGAUAAGUAAUGUGAAUUGCAGAAUUCAGUGAAUCAUCGAAUCUUUGAACGCACAUUGCGCCCGCCAGUAUUCUGGCGGGCAUGCCUGUUCGAGCGUCAUUUCAACCCUCAAGCUCAGCUUGGUGUUGGGACUCGCGGUAACCCGCGUUCCCCAAAUCGAUUGGCGGUCACGUCGAGCUUCCAUAGCGUAGUAAUCAUACACCUCGUUACUGGUAAUCGUCGCGGCCACGCCGUAAAACCCCAACUUCUGAAUGUUGACCUCGGAUCAGGUAGGAAUACCCGCUGAACUUAAGCAUAUCAAU